AUAGCCCGGAGAUGGAUUCUGAGACACGAAUCCAGACCCUACGGGGUGCAGCAGGCGCGAAAACUUGGCAAUGCGAGAAAUCGUGACCAGGGAACUCCAAGUGGCUGGGGUAAGACCCAGUCUUUUCUUGACUCUUCAAAGGUCUUGGAAUAAGAGGUGGGUAAGGACGGUGCCAGCCGCCGCGGUAAUACCGGCGCCUCAAGUGGUAGUCGAUUUUAUUGGGCCUAAAACGUCCGUAGCCUGUUUGGUACAUUCGUGGGUAAAUCAACCAGCUCAACUGGUUGAAUUCUGCGAGCACGGCCAGACUUGGGACCGGGAGAGGUGUGGGGUACGCUCAGGGUAGGGGUAAAAUCCUGUCAUCCUGAGCGGACCACCUGUUGCGAAGGCGCCACACUAGAACGGAUCCGACGGUCAGGGACGAAGCCUAGGGGCACGAACCGGAUUAGAUACCCGGGUAGUCCUAGGUGUAAACGCUGUGGACUUGGUGUUGGGGAUUCUCCGAGGAUCUUCAGUGCCGAAGCGAAGGUGAUAAGUCCACUGCCUGGGGAGUACGGUCGCAAGGCUGAAACUUAAAGGAAUUGGCGGGGGAGCACCGCAACCUGAGGAUUGUGCGGUUUAAUUGGACUCAACGCCGGGA
rnacentral:rRNA from 1 species